GAUCUUGACAUUUAUUUUGUGUCAGAAAUCUAUACUAUGUCAAAAAUUUAAUCACAAUCCAAAUUCAGGCAGUAUCAAGCUUGAAUAUUGUGUCCAAAUUUGCCCCAGCUGUUCAGGGUUCAAUCUCUGCGGUCGUAUCAGGCUGCCCUCAGGGAAGCAAUUUAUUGGCUUAUAUCUCAUAAACAAAAGCAUUUACAGCAAAUUUGGCAAGGGGUAAAAAUGUUCAAUAGGUCAAGAUUUAUCAGCCCUGAAUUUUUCAGACAAACUGAACAACCCAUUGUUUGGUUUCUUCCACUAGAUUGGUAAUUUUUAAGAAAUUUUACAGUUUUUGGUUAAUAUCUUGAAUAUUAUAAAAGAUAAAGAUAAACUGGAACAGCAAUGUAAGA
rnacentral:lncRNA from 1 species